AGCGAGUUAGACGUCUGGGUAUGUCGUCGGUCUCAUAAGCCGACAUAAGGUAGGUUCGAUUCCUACACUCGCAACCA
rnacentral:tRNA from 1 species